AACAUGGCGGCGAGCUAUAAUGCAGUCGAACGAACUCUGGUAUUGAUUGGUGCUUGCAUCAUGAUUUACAUUUGAGUGAGUGGCGAACUGGUGAGUAACACGUGGGAAACCUGCCCAGAAGCGGGGGAUAACACCUGGAAACAGAUGCUAAUACCGCAUAACAACUUGGACCGCAGGGUCCGAGUUUGAAAGAUGGCUUCGGCUAUCACUUUUGGAUGGUCCCGCGGCGUAUUAGCUAGAUGGUGGGGUAACGGCUCACCAUGGCAAUGAUACGUAGCCGACCUGAGAGGGUAAUCGGCCACAUUGGGACUGAGACACGGCCCAAACUCCUACGGGAGGCAGCAGUAGGGAAUCUUCCACAAUGGACGAAAGUCUGAUGGAGCAACGCCGCGUGAGUGAAGAAGGGUUUCGGCUCGUAAAACUCUGUUGUUAAAGAAGAACAUAUCUGAGAGUAACUGUUCAGGUAUUGACGGUAUUUAACCAGAAAGCCACGGCUAACUACGUGCCAGCAGCCGCGGUAAUACGUAGGUGGCAAGCGUUGUCCGGAUUUAUUGGGCGUAAAGCGAGCGCAGGCGGUUUUUUAAGUCUGAUGUGAAAGCCUUCGGCUCAACCGAAGAAGUGCAUCGGAAACUGGGAAACUUGAGUGCAGAAGAGGACAGUGGAACUCCAUGUGUAGCGGUGAAAUGCGUAGAUCUAUGGAAGAACACCAGUGGCGAAGCGGCUGUCUGGUCUGUAACUGACGCUGAGCUCGAAAGUAUGGGUAGCAACAGAUUAGAUACCCUGGUAGUCCAUACCGUAACUAUGAAUGCUAAGUGUUGGAGGAUUUCGCCCUUCAUGCUGCAGCUAACGCAUAAGCAUACGUCUGGGGAGGUACUGUCGCAAGCUGCAAACUCAACGAUGACUGGGGUCGCACAGUCGUCGAGCAUGUCGAUUGAUCGAGCUAACCGAGUAUCUACAGUCUGGACGUACUAUGCAUCUAGAGAUAGACGAUACUCAGGACUGCAUACGUGAGCAUGCUGCGUCAGUCGUCUGGAAGUUAGCUAAGUGCGACAGGCAACGUUAGUCAUGCACCUCACUGGCUUUGAGUGCGUCAACUAGCAGCGAAUCAAUCGGCCUUACUGGUGCACAGGUUCCAUUC
rnacentral:rRNA from 2 species